rnacentral:rRNA from 1 species
AUUGAACGCUGGCGGCAUGCCUUACACAUGCAAGUCGAACGGCAGCACGGGAGCAAUCCUGGUGGCGAGUGGCGAACGGGUGAGUAAUAUAUCGGAACGUGCCCAGUCGUGGGGGAUAACGCAGCGAAAGCUGUGCUAAUACCGCAUACGAUCUACGGAUGAAAGCGGGGGAUCGCAAGACCUCGCGCGAUUGGAGCGGCCGAUAUCAGAUUAGCUAGUUGGUGAGGUAAAGGCUCACCAAGGCGACGGUCUGUAGCUGGUCUGAGAGGACGACCAGCCACACUGGAACUGCGACACGGUCCAGACUCCUACGGGAGGCAGCAGUGGGGAAUUUUGGACAAUGGGCGAAAGCCUGAUCCAGCAAUGCCGCGUGCAGGAUGAAGGCCUUCGGGUUGUAAACUGCUUUUGUACGGAACGAAACGGUGAGCUCUAAUACAGUUUGCUAAUGACGGUACCGUAAGAAUAAGCACCGGCUAACUACGUGCCAGCAGCCGCCGUAAGAC